UACAGAGGGUGCGAGCGUUAAUCGGAAUUACUGGGCGUAAAGCGCACGUAGGUGGCGACGUAAGUCGGGUGUGAAAGCCCCGGGCUCAACCUGGGAAUUGCAUUCGAGACUGCAUUGCUGGAGUACGGAAGAGGAAGGCGGAAUUCCCGGUGUAGCGGUGAAAUGCGUAGAUAUCGGGAGGAACAUCAGUGGCGAAGGCGGCGCUCUGGACGGUGACUGACGCUGAGACGCGAAAGCGUGGGGAGCAAACAGG
rnacentral:rRNA from 1 species